UGAAGAUUGUUUAAAAUACUUGGAAGCUUCUGCUAUUGUAAUCACUAUGUUCCACUGCAUUCACAUUGCCCCACUUUGCUUCACUUAAGUCCAUCUUUAUUCCUACGCGUUAUGGUCCCUGCACGAAAAGACUUGUGUUAAUGAGUGCCCACUGUACCGUGGAUACCUUCCCUGACGCAUGAGGCGACAUCGCAGUGUGACUCUCAACUACACUGUCACAAACUUUGCCUAAUUUUCAGGUGCUGCAUUGUUGUGCCCAAUCCAUUGCCUUCUCUGGUUUCCAGAAACUGCUAUGAAUAAACUUGAAGCCCUCAUUUUAAGUGAUUAAAGCCCUGUAAAGGGCAGUGAGUUGCAUGUGGAAAUCUCUCUUCUGAAUUAGUGAUAACAUGGGAAGUAUCCAAAAUAAGUCAGCUCAUGUACUUCUGGGUUUCCAGUUCCCAUGGGAAUACCUCAGAAGACAAGCUAUGUUAUUAAGUUAACCAAACACAAAUUUGCCUUACAAUUUUUCCAUUCAUUCAAAUGGGACGUGAGUAGUUUGUUUCCUAAUCUGCACAAUUGCCCUGGAGCUCCUGUUGCAGUGUGUCAGUACAAUGACAGCUUCCCCUGAAUGACAACUCACAGCUCUAGUGAAAAAUGACAGGAUUUGUUAACCAAGUUUGUUAAGAAAAGACUCAGUUCUUGAGUGACUCUGUUUCUCAGUGGCAUCACAGUUAAUCAUCUCUGCAUUUUGUACUACACCUUAAAUAUACUUAUUUUGAAAUGGAUCUGAUUGGCAUGCUUAAAUGGACUGGUAAUGGUGUAUUGCACAAAAUUUUGUAUAACAGAAUAUGCUGUAGCACUACCUACUAACAUAAUAUUGUUGAUAGCAAUUAGAGGA